AGUGUUAUCUAUUUCUCGUAAAGUUGAACAGACAGUAGUGACCUCCAGGUCAUUUAAAGAAGAGAACACUUUAAACGGAAAAUCACUUUAAACAGAAAAUCACUAAGAUCUAUAGACUUAAGGUGAACUAGAGUAAGAAUAAAAUGAUAAUACCAAAAAAUCUCUAACAACGUGGUUCAUACGUUUCAUAAA